rnacentral:misc_RNA from 1 species
GAUUUUCCCUCUCUCGGAAACACAGGUGAUUCAAAGUCCCAUGGGAGAUGGAGGACCAUACUCAUAUCUUAUCACUAUUGAAUCAGGGUAGGGGCGGCGAAACUUCUUAUCGAGAAGGAAAACUUUAAACAGAGAAAGAAUCUUAACAAUAAUGAGGCCUUGGGGCACAAUAUAUUCCAGAGAGAUAAUAGAUUGCAAGUUGCCAAGAAAUUCUGCUAGUAGGCAUUGGGGCACUACUGAUAUUCUCAUCGUCACGAUGCUUCACAGCGACCUUCUUUGCCUAGGUCUUGAGUGAUCAUUGCUGAGAAUUUACCCGGAGUAGCUUACAAGGAAUCUGUAUGAAAAGGAAGUGGUUGCUCUCCUUUUGCAACUUGGAAAAGAACCCGAACCUGAAGUAAUCACUCUAUAAUGGAAGUUUCUGUAGCUCAAAAUGUUUUCGAAGGAUUUUCGAGGAUAGUGGUGAGAUAUUAUUAUCAACAAAAGAAUGAUCCCUUUACAAAAUUGGAUUCGGACAAACUUUACGCAAAAGAAGGAAAUGGCAUAUUAUCACCAGGAAUCCAUAAGAGCUAGUCCCAUUUGAGGGAAAAAAGUAUCCACAGACACAAGCCUGGUCCAAAAUCAGCCAUAGUAGCAGCCUAUAACAGUAGAGUUCUUUUUAUUUUCUUGUUUCUCGGAAUCUUUGAAUAAAGAACUUAGGAAAUGGAGAAUCUCCAUGCUCAGGGGUUUUUAUUGGUUGAUGAGAGAAUAUAUAAGGAAAAAGAUCUUAAUCAUUUUCUUUUAAGAAUUGAUCUUAAUCUUCUUCUCAUCUGACAUUGUUACCAUAGAACUGUUGUUUUUGUUCUUUUUUUUAAGAGUGAUUUUAUCAGUAAACUGCCACUGCUUUUGUUGAUUUUUGUCUAACAUUUGUAGCAAUCCAAUACAUAAAACUGUUUUCUG